ACUUCGUUCUUACUAAUCUCUUGUACUUCCUGAUUUGCUCUCACCACAUCAUCCAGCCUUCUGUCUCUCUCAUUUUCUUUGUUCAUCAGCUCCUCAAAAUAUUCCCUCCACCUUCUGAACACACACUCCUCGCUUCUCAGCACAUUACCAUG